rnacentral:lncRNA from 1 species
GUCUAGCAAUCUGCCCACCUCAGCCUCUCAAAGUGUUGGGAUUACAGGCGUGAGCCACUGCACCCGGCACCUGCUUGAAUUUUGAAAAUGGCUUGACCUGGAGGGGAUGCCACUCCUCUGGGAAGCAGAGUGGCACAUGGGGGUUGUGGAGGCUUUGCUAGUGCUGGACCUUCAACAGAAGGUUGAAUCUGAGCAUGUGUUGAAGCUGCUGUUAGGAGAACAGCUGCAGUUAACAAGACCCAACCUGGGAAACACACUAUUCAGGAGUGAUAAAGAAUCCGAGGCGCAGAGAGGUGGCACUGCUGGAAGGAACAGAGCCAGAUCCACAAGAUCCUUCAUUCCGACAAUAAAUAUUCACUGAAGAUCUGCCACAUGUCAGGCCCCAGCCCAGGUGCUGGGGAUUUAGCAGAAAACCAGCCAGACCCAUUUCCUGCAUCCAUGGAGUGCACAGGCUGGUGGGGGAGAUGGGCUAGAAAUCCAUGAACCAAAUUAUACUGAGACGAGCGAGCACCGAGCGCCUAGCGUGGACUGCGACCGCUCGGGCUCCUGUAUCUGUGACAGAUGUGCUUGGGCUCCUCGUAGGACCGAGGGACUUUGUUAUCCACACCACUGGCCUUGAAGUUGGCUGCUACCUGAUGAGAUGAAUUAAGAACAUACCAGCACUUUGGGAGGCUGAAGUGGGUGGAUCACGAGAUCAGGAAAUUGAGGUCCAGUGAGGUGUCUUGGCCAGGACACUCAGUCAGGACGUGACAUGAACACAGGACUGUCUGACUUCAAAUCCAGUGCUCCUUCCCCUGCAGUCCCCACCCCACUGACUGGGGGACAGUGCUCCAGGCAGCUGGAAUGGGACACGGUUUGUGUGGCAGCGAGAUAUCCAGGCUCUCCUCCUUCCAGAUCUAAGGAUUCAAACCCAGGUCUGCUUGACUAGGAAGGCCGGCCCUCUCCAUGGUGCCAGGACAACUCUUUGGAGAAGAUGCCCCUCUCUCUGCCUGCCUGAAUCUUCUCCGUCCACAAAGGCCUGCUCCAUCCUCCCUCCUCCAGGAAGCUUUCCCUGACUGUCCCCGGGCCCAGCCAGGGUGUCUGGGGGGCUGGAGAGACCCACAGAGCCCUGAUCACCGUGGCUGGCCCGUAAGUGUGGCGACUGAGUCCCAGUCUGGAGGCACAGCUGGACUUUCCCAGAGAGAACUGAGGCAUUGUGGGAAUUUCCCAGCUGUGACCCCAGGACCCUGAUUGCCCAGAAUGGCUCCAAGUUCACAUAUCUAGGGACCGUCACCAAGACUCCUGUAUCUAUAUUAAACUCGGUAAAUGUGA